rnacentral:rRNA from 1 species
GACGAACGCUGGCGGCGUGCUUAACACAUGCCAGUCGAACGCUGAAGCACCAGCUUGCUGGUGUGGAUGAGUGGCGAACGGGUGAGUAAUACGUGAGUAACCUGCCCUUGACUCUGGGAUAAGCCCGGGAAACUGGGUCUAAUACUGGAUGCUACAUGUCACCGCAUGGUGGUGUGUGGAAAGGGUUUACUGGUCUUGGAUGGGCUCACGGCCUAUCAGCUUGUUGGUGAGGUAAUGGCUCACCAAGGCGACGACGGGUAGCCGGCCUGAGAGGGUGACCGGCCACACUGGGACUGAGGCACGGCCCAGACUCCUACGGGAGGCAGCAGUGGGGAAUAUUGCACAAUGGGCGAAAGCCUGAUGCAGCGACGCCGCGUGAGGGAUGACGGCCUUCGGGUUGUAAACCUCGUUCAGCAGGGAAGAAGCCACAAGUGACAGUACCUGCAGAAGAAGCGCCGGCUAACUACGUG